GACGGGGGGUCCAAGCGUUGUUCGGAAGCAUUGGGCGUAAAGCGUGUGCAGGUGGCUCUGUAAGUUGGAUGUGAAAGCCCCGGGCUCAACUCGGGAAGUGCAUUCAAAACUACAAAGCUUGAGUAAGGAAGAGGGUCGUGGAAUUCCCAGUGUAGAGGUGAAAUUCGUAGAUAUUGGGAAGAACACCGGUGGCGAAGGCAGCUCGCUGGGACGGUACUGACGCUGAGGUGCGAAAGCGUGGGGAGCGAACAGG
rnacentral:rRNA from 1 species